rnacentral:rRNA from 1 species
GUGUCAGCAGCCGCGGUAAUACGUAGGUGACGAGCGUUAUCCGGAAUUACUGGGCGUAAAGCGCACGCAAGCGGUUGGACAAGUCUGGCGUGAAAUCUCCUGGCUUAACUAGGAGCGGUCGCUGGAGACUGUUCGGCUUGAGGCGAUGAGAGGGGUGCAGAAUUCCCGGUGUAGUGGUGGAAUGCGUAGAGAUCGGGAGGAAUACCAGUGGCGAAAGCGGCACCCUGGCGUCGUACUGACGCACAUGUGCGAAAGCGUGGGGAGCGAACGGGAUUAGAUACCCCUGUAGUCC